GACGAACGCUGGCGGCGUGCUCAACACAUGCAAGUCGAACGGGUCUGCCCUGUUUUUUGCGGGGUGGGUCAGUGGCGAACGGGUGAGUAACACGUGAGUAACCUGCCCCUCACUUCUGGAUAACCGCUUGAAAGGGUGGCUAAUACGGGGUGUUCUGGCUGUGCCGCAUGGUGUGGCUGGGAAAGAUUCACUUUUGUGGUGUUUUGGUGGGGGAUGGGCUCGCGGCCUAUCAGCUUGUUGGUGGGGUGAUGGCCUGCCAAGGCUUUGACGGGUAGCCGGCCUGAGAGGGUGGGCGGUCACACUGGGACUGAGAUACGGCCCAGACUCCUGCGGGAGGCAGCAGUGGGGGGUAUUGCACAAUGGGCGGAAGCCUGAUGCAGCGACGUCGCGUGAGGGAUGGAGGCCUUCGGGUUGUGAACCUCUUUCGCCGGUGAAGAAGGUCCUGCUCUUUGUGGUGGGGUUGACGGUAGCCGGGUUAUGAAGCGCCGGCUAACUACGUG
rnacentral:rRNA from 1 species